GGGUCACUAGCCAUGACCCUCAGCUGGUCUUGAGGCAGCCAUGGGGUCACUUGUCUGUUUUGCUGCUUUUCCAGGCCUGGAGCUGAAAUACAACUGAGGCCUAGAUGUUAUCUUUAGGGAGGAAAGGUCAGGGGUCCAAAAUGUGAUAUGCUA